rnacentral:rRNA from 1 species
UACGAAGGGGGCUAGCGUUGCUCGGAAUCACUGGGCGUAAAGCGCACGUAGGCGGCUUUUUAAGUCAGAGGUGAAAUCCUGGAGCUCAACUCCAGAACUGCCUUUGAUACUGAGAGCUUGAGUCCGGGAGAGGUGAGUGGAACUGCGAGUGUAGAGGUGAAAUUCGUAGAUAUUCGCAAGAACACCAGUGGCGAAGGCGGCUCACUGGCCCGGUACUGACGCUGAGGUGCGAAAGCGUGGGGAGCA